rnacentral:rRNA from 1 species
CAAUAGCGUAUAUUAAAGUUGUUGCAGUUAAAAAGCUCGUAGUUGGAUUUCUGGUGGGAGCGAUCGGUCUGGCGCUUAGCGCGAGUACUUGCAUCGUCUCCGGCCAUCCUUGGGGAGAGUCUGUCUGGCAUUAAGUUGUCGGGCAGAGGAUCCUCAUCGUUUACUGUGAAAAAAUUAGAGUGUUCAAAGCAGGCUUAUGCCGUUGAAUAUAUUAGCAUGGAAUAAUAAGAUAGGACUUUGGUACUAUUUUGUUGGUUUGCGCACCAAAGUAAUGAUUAAUAGGGACAGUUGGGGGUAUUCGUAUUCCGUUGUCAGAGGUGAAAUUCUUGGAUUUACGGAAGGCGAACUACUGCGAAAGCAUUUACCAAGGAUGUUUNCAUUAA